AGUGAACGCUGGCGGUAGGCCUAACACAUGCAAGUCGAACGGCAGCACAGGAGAGCUUGCUCUCUGGGUGGCGAGUGGCGGACGGGUGAGGAAUACAUCGGAAUCUACUCUGUCGUGGGGGAUAACGUAGGGAAACUUACGCUAAUACCGCAUACGACCUACGGGUGAAAGCAGGGGAUCUUCGGACCUUGCGCGAUUGAAUGAGCCGAUGUCGGAUUAGCUAGUUGGCGGGGUAAAGGCCCACCAAGGCGACGAUCCGUAGCUGGUCUGAGAGGAUGAUCAGCCACACUGGAACUGAGACACGGUCCAGACUCCUACGGGAGGCAGCAGUGGGGAAUAUUGGACAAUGGGCGCAAGCCUGAUCCAGCCAUACCGCGUGGGUGAAGAAGGCCUUCGGGUUGUAAAGCCCUUUUGUUGGGAAAGAAAUCCAGCUGGCUAAUACCCGGUUGGGAUGACGGUACCCAAAGAAUAAGCACCGGCUAACUUCGUGCCAGCAGCCGCGGUAAUACGAAGGGUGCAAGCGUUACUCGGAAUUACUGGGCGUAAAGCGUGCGUAGGUGGUCGUUUAAGUCCGUUGUGAAAGCCCUGGGCUCAACCUGGGAACUGCAGUGGAUACUGGGCGACUAGAGUGUGGUAGAGGGUAGCGGAAUUCCUGGUGUAGCAGUGAAAUGCGUAGAGAUCAGGAGGACAUCCAUGGCG
rnacentral:rRNA from 1 species